rnacentral:rRNA from 1 species
CAGCCAGACUCCUACGGGAGGCAGCAGUGGGGAAUAUUGCACAAUGGGGGAAACCCUGAUGCAGCGACGCCGCGUGAGUGAAGAAGUAUUUCGGUAUGUAAAGCUCUAUCAGCAGGGAAGAAAAUGACGGUACCUGAUUAAGAAGCCCCGGCUAACUACGUGCCAGCAGCCGCGGUAAUACGUAGGGGGCAAGCGUUAUCCGGAUUUACUGGGUGUAAAGGGAGCGUAGACGGCAGCGCAAGUCUGAAGUGAAAUGCCGGGGCUUAACCCCGGAACUGCUUUGGAAACUGUGCAGCUAGAGUGCAGGAGAGGUAAGUGGAAUUCCUAGUGUAGCGGUGAAAUGCGUAGAUAUCACGCAGAACCCCGAUUGCGAAGGCAGCAUGCCGGCUUCCGACUGACGCUGAAGCACGAAAGCGUGGGGAUCGAACAGGAUUAGAUACCCUAGUAGU